UACGAAGGGGGCUAGCGUUGCUCGGAAUCACUGGGCGUAAAGCGCACGUAGGCGGCUUGUUAAGUCAGGGGUGAAAUCCUGGAGCUCAACUCCAGAACUGCCUUUGAUACUGGCGAUCUCGAGUCCGGGAGAGGUCAGUGGAACUGCGAGUGUAGAGGUGAAAUUCGUAGAUAUUCGCAAGAACACCAGUGGCGAAGGCGGCUCUCUGGGACGGUACUGACGCUGAGACGCGAAAGCGUGGGGAGCGAACAGG
rnacentral:rRNA from 1 species